rfam:Phaethon lepturus contig97067, whole genome shotgun sequence.
ACCAAGGAUUCUUUAGAAUCCAAAAAUAAAAAGGACAAGCUAUUGU